GUAGUCUCGCACAGAUGCAUAUCAAUAAGCGGAGGAAAAGAAACUAACAAGGAUUCCCUUAGUAACGGCGAGUGAAGCGGGAAGAGCUCAAAUUUGAAAUCUUCAAGGUUUUACCUUGACGAAUUGUAGUUUAAAGAAGUGUUUUCUGUUGAAGUUUUGGUAAAAGUUCUUUGGAAUAGGACAUCAUAGAGGGUGAGAAUCCCGUAUUUGACCAUUAUUUUCAGCUGUGUGAUACACUUUCAAAGAGUCGGAUUGUUUGGGAAUGCAGUCCAAAAUGGGUGGUAAAUUUCAUCUAAAGCUAAAUAUUGGCGAGAGACCGAUAGCGAACAAGUACCGUGAGGGAAAGAUGAAAAGAACUUUGAAAAGAGAGUUAAACAGUACGUGAAAUUGUCAAAAGGGAAGCGUUUGACACCAGUGUUGUUUUCUCGAAAAUCAAUUAAAAAGAGUUUGAUUUUGUUGUGUAUUGACCUUAACAGCUUGCAUUUCAAUUUUCUUGCUUUUUUUAAUGCACUUUUCGUUUAACAAGUCAACAUCAGUUUCUUUUGCUGUAAAAAGGUCAUUGGAAGGUGGCUUUCUUUUCGGAGAAAGUGUUUAUAGCCUUUGACUCCUGCAAUCGGAGAGACUGAGGUCUGCAGCGUAGAUCCUUCGGGGUUAAAUAGCAUUUGUGCUAAGUCAUAGCAUUUUAUAGACAACUUGUUGACUAUGAUUAGUCUUGUAGCUUACUCGCUUAUGCUAUUUUACCUACGCUUAGGAUGUUGAGCGCAUGUCUCUCUCU
rnacentral:rRNA from 1 species